ACGGCCAGGACUACAGGGGUAUCUAAUCCCUUUCGCUCCCCUGGCUUUCGUCCAUGAGCGUCAGUAAUGGCCCAGCAGAGCGCCUUCGCCACUGGUGUUCUUCCCGAUAUCUACGCAUUUCACCGCUACACCGGGAAUUCCCUCUGCCCCUACCAUACUCAAGCCGAUCAGUUUCCACUGCCAUAAUGGAGUUAAGCUCCACGCUUUAACAGCAGACUUGAAAGGCCGCCUGCGGACGCUUUACGCCCAAUAAUUCCGGAUAACGCUUGCCACUCCCGUAUUACCGCGGCUGCUGGCACGGAAUUAGCCGUGGCUUAUUCCUCAAGUACCGUCAUAUCUUCUUCCUUGAGAAAAGAGGUUUACAGCCCAGAGGCCUUCGUCCCUCACGCGGCGUUGCUCCGUCAGGCUUUCGCCCAUUGCG
rnacentral:rRNA from 1 species